GGCCCACUUCACGACGGUCGUGCGCCGGCCUGCAAAGCCGGACGGUCCGGGUUCGACUCCUGGGUGGGCCUCCA
rnacentral:tRNA from 1 species